UACGGGGGGGGCAAGCGUUGUUCGGAAUUACUGGGCGUAAAGGGCUCGUAGGCGGCCAACUAAGUCGGAUGUGAAAUCCCCAGGCUCAACCUGGGAACUGCAUCCGAUACUGGAUGGCUUGAAUUCGGGAGAGGGAUGCAGAAUUCCAGGUGUAGCGGUGAAAUGCGCAGAUAUCAGGAGGAACACCGAUGGCGAAGGCAGGUCUCUGGGCCGAUACUGACGCUGAGGAGCGAAAGCGUGGGGAGCGAACAGG
rnacentral:rRNA from 1 species